CCUGGCGGCACUAGCGCGGUGGUCCCACCUGACCCCAUGCCGAACUCAGAAGUGAAACGCCGUAGCGCCGAUGGUAGUGUGGGGUCUCCCCAUGCGAGAGUAGGGAACUGCCAG
rnacentral:rRNA from 13 species